rnacentral:rRNA from 1 species
UACGGGGGGAGCAAGCGUUGUUCGGAAUUACUGGGCGUAAAGGGCGCGUAGGCGGCCUUCUAAGUCAGACGUGAAAUCCCCCGGCUUAACCUGGGAACUGCGUCUGAUACUGGGAGGCUUGAGUAUGGGGAGAGGGAUGUAGAAUUCCAGGUGUAGCGGUGAAAUGACGUAGAUAUCUGGAGGAAUACCGGUGGCGAAGGCGGCAUCCUGGACCAUAACGUGACGCUGAGGCGCGAAAGCUAGGGGAGCAAACGGGG